AAUUAUUGCUUGUAAUUAUUGCCAUAAUGUUGAUUCAAAUUAUUACCAAAUAAAACAAAAUUUCAAAAAUAUUCUAAAGUGAUUAAUAUUAAUUGCUUAUGGACAUUUUUCCAAGGAACUCAUUCCAAUUCUCCCAUUUUAUUCACGUGCACCCCCUUUUUUUUUCUUCUUCCUUACUCCCUUUUGUUUUUCUUUUCGUUUUUUUUUUCUUUUUUUUUAAUUUUAAUUUUAAUUUUUUUUCUUUUACUUUUUGCUUUUCUUUUUUUCCUUUUCUUUUCUUUUUUUUCU
rnacentral:lncRNA from 1 species